CCUACAGUGUUCGUGACAUUCUGUAAUGGAUGGGAAUUUGCCCUUGUAAAUUGGGCAGAGAGAUCAAAGGUUGCGACAUCAUCUGCACACAGAUUAAGCUUAUGCUCUCUGUAACCCACCCGUAUCCCUAGAAUAUUUCUAUUUUGUCUAAUUGCAAUGGUGAGUGGUUCCAGGGCAAGUACGCAAAGCAACGACGACAAAGG